GGGGAAUUUUGGACAAUGGGGGCAACCCUGAUCCAGCCAUGCCGCGUGAGUGAAGAAGGCCUUCGGGUUGUAAAGCUCUUUCGGCGGGGAAGAAAUGGCAACGGCUAAUAUCCGUUGUUGAUGACGGUACCCGCAUAAGAAGCACCGGCUAACUACGUGCCAGCAGCCGCGGUAAUACGUAGGUGGCGAGCGUUGUCCGGAAUUACUGGGUGUAAAGGGAGCGUAGGCGGGAAAGCAAGUUGAAUGUUAAAUCUAUCGGCUCAACCGGUAGCUGCGUUCAAAACUGUUUUUCUUGAGUGAAGUAGAGGCAGGCGGAAUUCCUAGUGUAGCGGUGAAAUGCGUAGAUAUUAGGAGGAACACCAGUGGCGAAGGCGGCCUGCUGGGCUUUUACUGACGCUGAGGCUCGAAAGUGUGGGGAGCAAACA
rnacentral:rRNA from 1 species